GAUCAUGGCUCAGGAUGAACGCUGGCGGCGUGCUUAACACAUGCAAGUCGAGCGAAGCACUUAAGUUUGAUUCUUCGGAUGAAGACUUUUGUGACUGAGCGGCGGACGGGUGAGUAACGCGUGGGUAACCUGCCUCAUACAGGGGGAUAACAGUUAGAAAUGGCUGCUAAUACCGCAUAAGACCACAGUACUGCAUGGUACAGUGGUAAAAAACUCCGGUGGUAUUAGAUGGACUCG
rnacentral:rRNA from 1 species